UUGACGUUUUCUUCUAACCCAAGCAAGAUUUUUAAAAUAAUGUUUGUUGAUUUUUGUCUGUGAUUUUAAGUUUAUUGUUGUUCUUUUUGUUUAAAGAUGUUUAAAGAUAGUUUUAAAUAUUACAAGUCCAGAAGUCAAAUAGUAGAUUUCUCACAAGUUUUGGAUCUAAAUAAAGAUACUCCUAAUUUGAAGAAGAUUGAUAUUAAAUCUGAAACAUAUUUUGGCUUUCAUCCAACACAUACGUGGGAAGUUUUUGAGGUAGUUGCAAGACCAGGCAUGUGUCUUAUCAUUAUAAAAAACCCUUUCACAAAUGUUGGACAAAGGUAUUGGGCCGUAAGAUGUUUACAGGAUUACUCCAAAAGGCCAUAUAAACGUAAUAUUGACUCAGUUAAAUCAACUGCUGAUAUUGACGAUUGGUGGCAAGUAUGUAAUGUUACUGGUGAUGUAGAGUUGUUAAAGAAAUUGAGGUGGAGUACCUUAGGAUAUCAUCAUAAUUGGGAUACAAAAUAUUAUUCUGAAGAACAUAAAACUGAGUUUCCAGAAGACCUUCAAAAUGUAACAAAAUUUCUAUCAAGUGUGUUAAAUUUUGGAAAUUACUCAGCUGAAGCUGCUAUUAUUAAUUAUUAUCAUAUGGAUUCAACUUUAUCUGGUCAUACAGAUCAUUCUGAACCAAAUUUAAAUGCUCCAUUAUUUUCAUUUAGUUUUGGUCAAACCGCAGUAUUUUUGAUUGGCGGUAAACUUAAAGAAGAUUCUGCCAUAUCUAUGUUCUUGAGAAGUGGCGAUAUUCUAGUGAUGUCUGGAGAUUCAAGAUUAUGCUAUCAUGGAGUGCCAAGAAUAAUAAAUGCCGAUUCAAGACCAUGGGAGUCAAUUAUGCAUAUAAAAGAUGACAUGCCAAAAGGAUAUGAACAUAUUCUAAAAAUAUGUAAAGAUGAAAAAUUAUGGACUUGUUUUGGAGAUUAUUUAACUCAUUCUAGAAUUAAUAUGAAUGUUAGACAAGUUUUAAAUAAAGAUCAGGAGAGUUUAUGAAAUAUUUUUUGUGUUUUUUAUAGAAUAAUUUAAAGUUGGUUAUUAUUUCAGGUUCAGAAUAAUAAACAAGCCUAGAAAGAUAGUAAAUUACUUUAUACAACUUUAUCAAUUCGUAUUUGUUUACAAUCUGCAGAAAUUUAAAUUUUUUAUAUGAAAAUAUGCAAAACUUGGAGAGAAAAGUGCAUACACGACCGAAGAAACAUAUAAGCUGCUAAAAUAAAUCUUCCCUAGAACUGUUGUACAAAAAAGAUAGAAGUUCCAGCAACAAAUUUAUCACCAGUUCAACCUUUGAUUUGAUGUAAACAGUAAUUGUUUCUUGAUGAGAAAUGCGAAUGAAAUAGUUUAUGGUGUGAUUGUGUUAGUGUUUUAUUAAUAGUUUUGUUGAUGCAGUUUAAAGGUUCAUAGUUUUUCAUUAAAACAUUUGAAAUUGACAUGUUUACAUGCAGUUUAGUGUGAUACCAUUUUAAUAAACAUUAAAAUCUUUCGAACUAGUAGUGGUUUUAUGGCGAUUGACAGAUUGAAUAACGAAAAUUAAGAGUAUUUUAUCAGGAAUAACUUAAUCAUAAAUGGAAACUGAAGACGAACGUUACCAUUGCACCCUUUGAUCGGUGUUAUCUAUUCCAUAACUUUUUAUAGCUGAAACUAGAGAGUAGGUAUAUUGAGCUGAAACGUUUCCUGUGUUCAAUAGCGUUUUUUCUAGCGUUGAAUUGUAAGUUUUAAUGUCAUUAGCAAAGUUUUGCAAAUUGUCACUGUUUCGUAGACAAUUAAAUUCAAGAUAUAUUAUAUUCAAUGUCACCUAAUAAUUGUAAAGGUUUUUCUAUUGAUAUUCACUUUAUUAAUAUAAGGUAGGUUUGUAAAUAAAAUAUUAAUGAAUAAAUAAUGUACUCAGUUUAUUUCAAAAGCACAAAAAUACAGAGUUGUGAAUAUGUAUAUACGCUGACUUAUUUCAUCAUAUAAAUAUUUAUUUAGCAAUAUUAAUACAUUACAACUUUUGUUUCUAUUAACUAAUUCCACUAAAUUUAAUAAAUAAAAUAUACAAUAUAUAAAUUUAAUAUACAAUUUAGCACUUAGAUAUUAAAUAUCUAUAUGUACUAUGCCAAAAAAUAAAACAGGAACAUCAUAUUAUAUCAAGAACACAAAAAAUUACAAUUUAAAAAAAAUGCAUUCUAAAAAAAUACCUAGCUACAAUAUACCUACAUAUUAAUUUAAAGAGCUUAUUCAUAUUCAUAAAAACUAUUCUAAAUGGUUUAUAUACACAAUCAAAAGUAUCAACCACAAUACAAUAAUUUUCAAAUUAUUUCUUAUUAUUCCUCAAUGAAAAAGCGUCUUGCGACGGCUAGUCAAAAAUCUAAAUAAUUUUUAUAAUAAAUUUACAAUCUGACAUAUGCAAAUAUGUCAGUAGUAAUACGUAAUUUUACUUUAUGAAAUUACUACAUCUAGAACCGAUUUUAAAAAAUUGUACAAAUUUUCACCCCUAAUAUAACCCUUUUAAGAGAUAAAUUUUCAAAAAUCGACGUUCUUAGUAGAUUCCUAGGACAGAUUUUAAAAAGCUUUUACAGAAAAUUUCGCCCCCUCAAGCGAUAAAUUUCUGCUCGUUCACCCCUCAUUUCGCCCCCUUUUGGUGCGAAUUUCCAGAAAACGUUACAUAAUAUUCAAUUAAGUCACCAAAGAAACCUCUGUGCAAAAUUUCAUACUUUUAAAAGAGCGAUUAUAACAAGUUUUUCCAAGUUUUACCCUCUUAGGGUAAACAUUUCCAAAAAUUGCUUAUGUAUCUCAUUAUGAAUAUUCACUUUCAUCCCUUAAGGGAUAUCUGUGCAAAAUUUCAUACACCUAGGACAGAUUAAAUUUUUUUCUUAUACAAAAUUUACUCCUCAAUGCAUCCCCUUAGGGGACAAAUUUCAUC